rnacentral:rRNA from 1 species
UGAGCUAUCCGUGGGCAGGCUGAAGCGGGGGUAAGACCCCGUGGAGGGCCGAACGCACGUCGGUUGAAAACGGCGGCGAUGACCUGCGGAUAGGGGUGAAAGGCCAAUCAAACCCGGAGAUAUCUCGUUCUCCCCGAAAUAGCUUUAGGGCUAGCGUCGCGCGUUCACCGCCGGAGGUAGAGCACCGGAUGGACGAGGGGGCUUCGCCGCCUACCGAAUCCAACCGAACUCCGAAUGCCGGCGGCCCAGAGCGCGGCAGUCAGAGCAUGUGGGCUAAGCUGUGUGCUCGAGAGGGAAACAGCCCGGACCGCCCGCUAAGGUCCCCAAGUUCCAGCCGAGUGGCAAAGGAUGUGCGUCCGCCCAGACAACCAGGAUGUUGGCUUAGAAGCAGCCAUCCAUUCAAAGAGUGCGUAACAGCUCACUGGUCGAGUGGACAUGCGCCGACAAUACACGGGGCUAAGCUGGACACCGAAGCGGCGGGAUUUUAAUUCAUUAGAAUCGGUAGGGGAGCUUCCCAUGGGCGGAGAAGCCGGAGGGCGACCGACGGUGGAGCGCAUGGGAGUGAGAAUGCUGGCAUGAGUAGCGAGAGACGAGAGAGUAACUCGUCCGCCGUGAACCCGAGGUUUCCUGGGCAAGGCUAAUCCUCCCAGGGUCAGUCGGGGGCUAAGGCGAGGCCGGUAGGCGUAGCCGACGCGCAGCAGGCAGACAUUCCUGCACCGCGCACGCGGCGCUACGACCGACGGGGCGACGGAUGGGGGUGGCUCGGCGGGGUUCUGGACGUCCCCGUGAUGGAGCGCGGCCCGCGGACCAGGGAAAUCCGGUCCGCAUUGAGGGCGAGGCUCCGGACGAAGCGAUUGAGCGAAGCGAGUGAGCCCGAGGUCCCUAGAAAAACCCCUAGGCAGGCGCGUGCGCGCCCGUACCGCAAACCGACACAGGUGGGUGGGUAGAACAUACCGAGGCGAUCGGGUCAACCAUGGUCAAGGAACUCGGCACAAUGGCCCCGUAACUUCGGGAGAAGGGGUGCCCGCGCGUACGUGAACCGGCUCGCCCGGGGAGCGGAGGCGGGCCGCAGUGGAGAGGCCCAAGCGACUGUUUACCAAAAACACAGGACUCUGCAGAAGCCGCAAGGCGACGUAUAGGGUCUGACGCCUGCCCGGUGCCGGAAGGUCACGCGGAGGAGUUAGCCGAUUCGGCGAAGCCCCGAAGCCAAGCCCCGGUAAACGGCGGCCGUAACUAUAACGGUCCUAAGGUAGCGAAAUUCCUUGUCGGGUAAGUUCCGACCUGCACGAAAGGCGCAACGACUUGGGCGCUGUCUCGACCAUGGACCCGGUGAAAUUGCACUGGUCGUGAAGAUGCGACUUACCCGCGGAAGGACGGAAAGACCCCGUGAACCUUCACUGCAGCUUGGCAUUGGCCGCUGGUCCCGCGUGUAGAGGAUAGGCAGGAGGCGAAGAUCCGGAGGCGCCAGCCCCCGGGGAGCCGCCCUUGGAAUACUGCCCUCGCGCGACCGGCGUCCUAACCCGAGGCCGUCAACCGGCUCGGGGACCGUGCCAGGCGGGCAGUUUGACUGGGGCGGUCGCCUCCUAAAGGGUAACGGAGGCGCGCGAAGGUCCGCUCGGGACGGUCGGCAACCGUCCUUUUGAAUGCAAGAGUACAAGCGGGCUUGACUGCGAGGCCCACAAGCCGAGCAGGUGCGAAAGCAGGCUCUAGUGAUCCGGCGGCCCCGAGUGGGUGGGCCGUCGCUCAACGGAUAAAAGGUACUCCGGGGAUAACAGGCUGAUCUUGCCCAAGAGUCCACAUCGACGGCAAGGUUUGGCACCUCGAUGUCGGCUCAUCGCAUCCUGGGGCUGGAGUAGGUCCCAAGGGUUGGGCUGUUCGCCCAUUAAAGCGGUACGCGAGCUGGGUUCAGAACGUCGUGAGACAGUUCGGUCCCUAUCCUCCGUGGGCGCAGGAGAAUCGAUGGAGGCUGCCCCCAGUACGAGAGGACCGGGGUGGACGCACCUCCGGUGAACCGGUUGUCGACCAACGGCACGGCCGGGUAGCCGCGUGCGGCGCGGAUAACCGCUGAAGGCAUCUAAGCGGGAAGCCGUUCCAGGGAUUAGUUCUCCUUCCGGUAAGGGCCCAGGUAGACUACCUGGUCGAUAGACGGCAGGUGCAAGGGCGGCGACGUCCUCAGCCGAGCCGCACUAAUCGCCCGAGCUCUUCCGGA